CAGCUUGGUCAGAUGGUCGCAAGUUGAGUGUGAUGCUCAAUUUGAGGAAAGUCCGAGCUUCACAGAGCAGGGUGCUUGUUAACGGCAAGUCUAGGCAACUAGAAGGAAAGUGCAACAGAAAAUAACCGCUAUACCCCUGAGUGGUUAGUAAGGAUGAAAAGGCGAGGCAAGAGCUCACCGCAAAAUUGGCGACAAUUUUGGUCCAUGUAAACCCCACCCGAAGCAAGGUUAAAAUAUUCGUAUAGGUUGCUCGCCUGAAUAUUAAAAAUACCGCUAAAACCUGUUAGCAAUAGCAGGUUUAGAUAGAUGACCGUCAAAUACAGAACUCGGCUUAUAGACCAAACUGCCAC
rnacentral:RNase_P_RNA from 1 species